GAAUUUUGGACAAUGGGCGCAAGCCUGAUCCAGCCAUGCCGCGUGCGGGAAGAAGGCCUUCGGGUUGUAAACUGCUUUUGUACGGAACGAAAAGGCUCUGGUUAAUACCUGGGGCACAUGACGGUACCGUAAGAAUAAGCACCGGCUAACUACGUGCCAGCCGCCGCGGUAAUACGUAGGGUGCAAGCGUUAAUCGGAAUUCCUGGGCGUAAAGCGUGCGCAGGCGGUGCUGUAAGACAGGCGUGAAAUCCCCGGGCUCAACCUGGGAAUUGCGCUUGUGACUGCAGUGCUGGAGUGCGGCAGAGGGGGAUGGAAUUCCGCGUGUAGCAGUGAAAUGCGUAGAUAUGCGGAGGAACACCGAUGGCGAAGGCAAUCCCCUGGGCCUGCACUGACGCUCAUGCACGAAAGCGUGGGGAGCAAACAGG
rnacentral:rRNA from 1 species